rnacentral:rRNA from 1 species
UAAUGCAACUAGCACAAUCUAAUAAUUGGUUAGGUGGAGCUUUAGGAGGGGCCUACGUUGGAUUAGCUAGUUGGUAAGGUAAAAGCUUACCAAGGCGAUGAUCCAUAGCUGUUCUGAGAGGAAGAUCAGCCACACUGGGACUGAGACACGGCCCAGACUCCUACGGGAGGCAGCAGUGGGGAAUAUUGGACAAUGGGGGCAACCCUGAUCCAGCGAUGCCGCGUGUGUGAAGAAGGCCUGAGGGUUGUAAAGCACUUUUAGUGGUGAGGAAGAUGCCAUGAAGAAUAUACAUGGUAUUUGACGUUAGCUACAGAAAAAGCACCGGCAAACUCUGUGCCAGCAGCCGCGGUAAUACAGAGGGUGCGAGCGUUAAUCGGAAUGACUGGGCGUAAAGGGCGCGUAGGCGGCCUAACAAGUUAGGAGUGAAAUACUAGGGCUUAACCCUGGUGCUGCUUCUGAGACUGUUAAGCUAGAGUUUAAUAGAGGGGAGUGGAAUUUCCGGAGUAGCGGUGAAAUGCGUAGAUAUCGGAAGGAACACCAGUGGCGAAGGCGGCUCUCUGGAUUUGAACUGACGCUGAGGUGCGAAGGCGUGGGUAGCGAACAGGAUUAGAUACCCUGGUAGUCCACGCAGUAAACGAUGAGAACUAGCUGUUGGUACGCGAUGACGUACAAGUAGCGCAGUUAACGCGAUAAGUUCUCCGCCUGGGGAUUACGGCCGCAAGGCUAAAACUCAAAGGAAUUGACGGGGGCCCGCACAAGCGGUGGAGCAUGUGGUUUAAUUCGAUGCAACGCGAAGAACCUUACCUACUUUUGACAUCUAUGGGAUCUGUAAGAGAUUAUGGAGUGCCAGAAAUGGAGCCAUAAGACAGGUGCUGCAUGGCUGUCGUCAGCUCGUGUCGUGAGAUGUUGGGUUAAGUCCCGUAACGAGCGCAACCCUUGUCCUUAGUUGCCAGCACGUAAAGGUGGGGACUCCAAGGAGACUGCUGGUGAUAAGCCGGAGGAAGGUGGGGACGACGUCAAGUCAUCAUGGCCUUUAUAAGUAGGGCUACACACGUGCUACAAUGGGUAUUACAGAGGGGGGCGAAUCCGCGAGGUGGAGCUGAACUCAGAAAGGUACUCGUAGUCCGGAUUGAAGUCUGCAACUCGACUUCAUGAAGUUGGAAUCGCUAGUAAUCGCGAAUCAGAAUGUCGCGGUGAAUACGUUCCCGGGCCUUGUACACACCGCCCGUCACACCAUGGGAGUGGGUUGUACCAGAAGUGGUUAGUCUAACCUGCAAAGGAAGGCGAUCACCACGGUAUGAUUCAUGACUGGGGUGAAGUCGUAACAAGGUA